rnacentral:tRNA from 2 species
GUCAGGGUAGCUCAGCUGGUAGAGCACCACAUUCAUAACGUGGCGGUCGCGGGAUCGAAGCCCGCCCCUGACA